AAGUUUACAUAUUGAUUGUAAUAUCUUCUGCAUUUCUAAAUGAUAAUUUGUUAUUUUUGGACAUUACUAGUAACAUCGUCAUGCACGCAGAAACCAUAACUUCUCCUCCAGCUGCUACAGAUAUGUCAGUCCCAGGUCAGAGUUCUUCACCUUCUUCAAGUUGUAUGGUCUCUCCAACAACUGGUACUCAAACACUAGCAUUUUUGAGCUGUGGAACUCUACGAAAGAUUAAGUUGCAUGAGAAACUAAGAGCUAUGAGAAGAAAAAAAUGCAUGAAAACAUCCAGUCAUGAGUUCAUCCCGGUGAAGACAGUGUGGUGCUCGUAGUGUCUGUUUGAACGCCCAAGGGCGUGCUUAGAAGAGCUUCUUCUAAAUAAUGUGUGUUGCCAAUAGAAACUGUUCCUACUGACUAACAAUUUUUUGAAAUUAUCCUUUUUUACUAUAUGUUACUAAUGUUAGUUUUAUUGUUUUUAUUUUGCAUUUAAGUUGAAAGUAGGUUUUUUCAAAGGGGGCGGCAUGUACGGUGAGAGUUCAUUUUAUUCAUAUUUUCUUAUGUCUCGUACCACCCUGUACAGGCAAAUGGCUGCAUUCCAGAACACUUAAACCUCUCACAGUUCAUCCCUCUCAAGCGAGCGUUGAUCGGUUCGAUGUAUAUUAGUAAGUGUCAGUUCUGUCGUAAACGGCAAACAUCUGUUUGUUCUCUUCCAUAUUCAUGCACUGUAAAAAUAUCUACUAUCGAAGUAAAUAGUUGAAUAUUGAA